ensembl:lncRNA
CCCACCCAUCUUAAAGCAGAGAUUUACAAGACCCUCAUACGGUCAGUCACACUUCACAGUUCAGAGUGUUGGCCUGCAUCCGCCAAACACCAGCAGUCUGGACCAUGUCAGGAAUGAAGACGUGCAGAAAGUACUGGGAAUGGCUCCAAUCAUAGAGAAGAUGAAAGAAGCACAUCUUUAUUGGGACAGCCAUGUCGUUCACAGCGGAGAAGAAUCAAGUGAUAGACAGCAUUGUGCCUUAGCCCAGAUGGAUGGCGACCACAUGUUUGACCAAAGAAGAGAUGAAUGGACUGAGAAAAAAAAGAAAAGAAAAUAUGAAACAAGUCAACACAGCCCCCGACGAUGCCCUAGACUGGAAGAAGUGGAAAGCGAAAUGCCAAUAAGCAGACCUUGCAACAGUGCAGUGUCUCAGCAGGUUCCACAGCCGAUCGCUGUGAACGAUGUUCCUGUGGGAUCUCCACACCCACAGCCUCUACAGAAGCGAGCAUGCAUCCCAGCGGCCUACUCCUCCAUCCUCUGCGUCUCCUGGGCUACGAGACUGCUGGAGCCUGAAGCUGCCCACCCUCCUGCACCUUUAACCCUCCAAACAACCACAAACACUGACUCACUGAAGACUCCUCAUGCCUUCCAACAAACCACAAACCUCCACACUUCGUGAUUUUAACAGCUUCUGAUCGAGGAAUUAAAGGAGCUGUGGAGCAGAAUCAAAGAACAUCUGCUGUCUGACGUCAUUCCAUGUUCCAGUCGCUAUCCCUUUGGUUUAUUUAUUAAAGGCUGUUUUCUUGAAAUUUACUCCUUGUCUCCUCGCUCCAUGUUCCAGUGAAUCGUGACAAUAAACCUAUAUAUCUGAAUUAUGAACUCCAGUAAUGAUUAAAAAAGCCCAUCAAGUCUCAGUGACAGACCAUGACACACUAAACUACAGUAGCCGAAAAAGUAUUUCUGGACACUAUAAAUGUGC